AGCUCGACGGGGUCCACCGCGCGGGUCACGACCAGGUAGUCGCGCAUCACGAUGCCGUGGCGGUUCUC
rfam:Rhodococcus triatomae strain DSM 44892 genome assembly, contig: Ga0116918_101